AAAAUUGAUCCCAAAAGGGAAAAUUACGCAUUCUACACGCAUUAACAUACUUUUGGUUAGAUCUUCUUGAUUAAUGUAUAUAUUUCCAUGUAUAAGCAUUGUUUCAAUUUAUAGGUUAAAGUUGCUUAACUCUGGGACUAUUAGUUUACACCAGAGACAUAUAUACACAUGUGUAUAUAUAUGUCUCUGCAACAACUAAGAGGUUCUGACUGGGUGACUGGUAUAUACAUAUAUAGUGUAUAUGCAGCGAGGUUGAUAUAUUUGAGUGGCACCGUGCCAUGGAUCUAUAUUAGUGGAAAUACAGAAUCAAAACAUAGUUUUUAUGUGUAUAUUAAUAGAAGGG
rnacentral:lncRNA from 1 species